GCAUGAAAAGUUAUGACUCCUAUAUGAUGAUGUAAUGUUUGCUUUCUAUGGUUAUGCAUGGCUAUUUGGAUGGUGAUGAUCCAACUGCAUUGAUUGAGCUGGGAGUGCUCUUCCGAGAACUGUGUUACCGAAAGUUGAAGAUUAACUUACUUGAGAGAUCAGAGAAGGAUAUCAUACUUGUUGGGUAUAAAAUACCCCCAGCCGAAGUCCUCAACAGAAUCAACAACUCCGCCAACAAGGCCGAUCUUAAAGGAAGACUUCGCCCGGACUCCUACGGGAGCCGGGCUCCGUCCUCAACGUCAAGAAGACAGACUGCGUCCGGACUCCUACGGGAGCCGGACUCCGCCGACGACUUCAACAGC
rnacentral:lncRNA from 1 species